rnacentral:rRNA from 1 species
ACGAACGCUGGCGGCGUGGAUAAGACAUGCAAGUCGAACGAGAGAAUUGCUAGCUUGCUAAUAAUUCUCUAGUGGCGCACGGGUGAGUAACACGUGAGUAACCUGCCCCCGAGAGCGGGAUAGCCCUGGGAAACUGGGAUUAAUACCGCAUAGUAUCGAAAGAUUAAAGCAGCAAUGCGCUUGGGGAUGGGCUCGCGGCCUAUUAGUUAGUUGGUGAGGUAACGGCUCACCAAGGCGAUGACGGGUAGCCGGUCUGAGAGGAUGUCCGGCCACACUGGAACUGAGACACGGUCCAGACACCUACGGGUGGCAGCAGUCGAGAAUCAUUCACAAUGGGGGAAACCCUGAUGGUGCGACGCCGCGUGGGGGAAUGAAGGUCUUCGGAUUGUAAACCCCUGUCAUGUGGGAGCAAAUUAAAAAGAUAGUACCACAAGAGGAAGAGACGGCUAACUCUGUGCCAGCAGCCGCGGUAAUACAGAGGUCUCAAGCGUUGUUCGGAAUCACUGGGCGUAAAGCGUGCGUAGGCUGUUUCGUAAGUCGUGUGUGAAAGGCGCGGGCUCAACCCGCGGACGGCACAUGAUACUGCGAGACUAGAGUAAUGGAGGGGGAACCGGAAUUCUCGGUGUAGCAGUGAAAUGCGUAGAUAUCGAGAGGAACACUCGUGGCGAAGGCGGGUUCCUGGACAUUAACUGACGCUGAGGCACGAAGGCCAGGGGAGCGAAAGGGAUUGGAUACCCCUGUAGUCCUGGCAGUAAACGGUGCACGCUUGGUGUGCGGGGAAUCGACCCCCUGCGUGCCGGAGCUAACGCGUUAAGCGUGCCGCCUGGGGAGUACGGUCGCAAGAUUAAAACUCAAAGAAAUUGACGGGGACCCGCACAAGCGGUGGAGUAUGUGGCUUAAUUCGAUGCAACGCGAAGAACCUUACCUGGGCUUGACAUGUAAUGAACAACAUGUGAAAGCAUGCGACUCUUCGGAGGCGUUACACAGGUGCUGCAUGGCCGUCGUCAGCUCGUGUCGUGAGAUGUUUGGUUAAGUCCAGCAACGAGCGCAACCCCUGUUGCCAGUUACCAGCACGUGAAGGUGGGGACUCUGGCGAGACUGCCCAGAUCAACUGGGAGGAAGGUGGGGACGACGUCAGGUCAGUAUGGCCCUUAUGCCCAGGGCUGCACACGUACUACAAUGCCCAGUACAGAGGGGGCCGAAGCCGCGAGGCGGAGGAAAUCCUAAAAACUGGGCCCAGUUCGGACUGUAGGCUGCAACCCGCCUACACGAAGCCGGAAUCGCUAGUAAUGGCGCAUCAGCUACGGCGCCGUGAAUACGUUCCCGGGUCUUGUACACACCGCCCGUCACAUCAUGGAAGCCGGUCGCACCCGAAGUAUCUGAAGCCAACCGCAAGGAGGCAGGGUCCUAAGGUGAGACUGGUAACUGGGAUG